AUAUGGUUUGACUUCUUUUGGGUUCCGAAAGAUAGUCUGACGUGAAAAUUUACGUCAGGCUACUGUACCAUAAAUUAAUCCUCCCCCACAGGACACAACAUAUUAAUAGCAAGUUGCCACCUCUAGUUACAUAAAGAGUCUGUGAGAAAGGAGCUUAAAUUUUUAUCAACGGCACCACAAAUUUCGUAAGACAUAUUAUAACAUCCACACCACAACUAAGGGAUGGAUUAGCUGCAAAUGCCUUCCAAAUUCUUUGGCCUCUCAUUAAUAGUCAAGGGGAAUUCUGUCAUUAAGAUCUCAAGCAAUACUAUCUAUUAUAACAAACUACACUACAGUAUAUUUAGGCACCAAAAUGAUGAGUUGAACAUGUGCAAAUACAUGUACACAGAUAGAAAUGCAUUCAUCCAAAACUUUAUCAGACAGGAAAGCAUAAAAGUUUAGCUAAGAUCAGACCUGCAAAUGAAGAACAUCUGCUAAUGGCUUCUUCUUCAAGUGA
rnacentral:misc_RNA from 1 species